GAUGAACGCUGGCGGCGUGCCUAAUACAUGCAAGUCGAACGAAACUUCUUUAUCACCGAGUGCUUGCACUCACCGAUAAAGAGUUGAGUGGCGAACGGGUGAGUAACACGUGGGCAACCUGCCCCAAAGAGGGGGAUAACACUUGGAAACAGGUGCUAAUACCGCAUAACCAUAGUUACCGCAUGGUAACUAUGUAAAAGGUGGCUAUACUACCGCUUUUGGAUGGGCCCGCGGCGCAUUAGCUAGUUGGUAGGGUAAAGGCUUACCAAGGCAAUGAUGCGUAGCCGAAUUGAGAGGUUGAUCGGCCACAUUGGGACUGAGACACGGCCCAAACUCCUACGGGAGGCAGCAGUAGGGAAUCUUCCGCAAUGGGCGAAAGCCUGAUGGAGCAACGCCGCGUGAGUGAAGAAGGUCUUCGGAUCGUAAAACCCUGUUGUUAGAGAAGAAAGUGCGUGAGAGUAACUGUUCACGUUUCGACGGUAUCUAACCAGAAAGCCACUGCUAACUACGUG
rnacentral:rRNA from 1 species